UUACCGUGGAAUAAUUAGAGUGUUCCAAGCAGGCAGAUCCAAGUUUCUGCCACCGAAUACAUUAGCAUGGGAUAAUGGAAUAGGACCCUGUCCUCCUAUUUUCAGUUGGUCUGCCGCGAGGACCAGGGUAAUGAUAUAUAGGGAUAGGUCAGGGCAUUAAUAUUUAAUUGUCAGAGGUGAAAUUCUUGGAUUUAUGAAAGAUUAACGUCUGCGAAAGCAUCUGCCAAGGAUGUUUUCAUUAAUCAAGAACGAAAGUUAGGGGAUCGAAGACGAUCAGAUACCGUCGUAGUCUUAACCAUAAACGAUGCCGACCAGCGAUUAGGAGACGUUGAAUACAAAACACCACCAUGCGCAUUGCGGUCGUCUUUGGUGUCGCUCACAAGGCGGCACCGGGGCGGCUUAGCUCGCAUGGCACCGGUGACG
rnacentral:rRNA from 1 species